AGGGUUCUGCUAUGGACAACUCUUCACUGUUUUCAGACUGAGCUCUCAGGUGAGAUGUACCAGCUGGCUGAGUGGAACCGGGGAGAAAACAGACAGACAGGGUUGGGGGAACACACCUGUUGCUCACACGGUCCUAUACAUAGCCAAAGUCUUCAGGCAGCUAAGGUGUUGCCUAAGGUCUGUGUCCUGCAACACAAUAUUCCAGUGCCUGAGAAAGCACGAAGAGAGAUACCAGGCUACAGUGGCCAACCUGUCUAGGGCAGGGUGAAGCUUCAGCAGGAGUAUCAAGUGUGUCAAAGAACUUCUCACAGAUUAAACAGGUGAAGGAUUAUGGUUUGUGAAGGCUCAUUCUGCUUUGGCCUGAGGACAUUUGAACAAAAACG